rnacentral:rRNA from 1 species
UACGAAGGGGGCUAGCGUUGCUCGGAAUCACUGGGCGUAAAGCGCACGUAGGCGGCUUUCUAAGUCAGGGGUGAAAUCCUGGAGCUCAACUCCAGAACUGCCUUCGAUACUGGGAGUCUCGAGUCCGGGAGAGGUGAGUGGAACUGCGAGUGUAGAGGUGAAAUUCGUAGAUAUUCGCAAGAACACCAGUGGCGAAGGCGGCUCACUGGCCCGGUACUGACGCUGAGGUGCGAAAGCGUGGGGAGCAAACAGG